GAUCCUGGCUCAGGAUGAACGCUGGCGGCGUGCCUAACACAUGCAAGUCGAGCGAUUCUCUUCGGAGAAGAGCGGCGGACGGGUGAGUAACGCGUGGGUAACCUGCCCUAUACACACGGAUAACGUACCGAAAGGUACGCUAAUACGAGAUAAUAUGCUUUAGUCGCAUGGCUGAAGUAUCAAAGCUCCGGCGGUAUAGGAUGGACCCCGCGUCUGAUUAGCUAGUUGGUAAGGUAAUGGCUUACCAAGGCGACGAUCAGUAGCCGACCUGAGAGGGUGAUCGGCCACAUUGGAACUGAGACACGGUCCAAACUCCUACGGGAGGCAGCAGUGGGGAAUAUUGCACAAUGGGCGAAAGCCUGAUGCAAGCAACGCCGCGUGAGCGAUGAAGGCCUUCGGGUCGUAAAGCUCUGUCCUCAAGGAAGAUAAUGACGGUACUUGAGGAGGAAGCCCCGGCUAACUACGUGCCAGCCGCUGC
rnacentral:rRNA from 1 species